GACGAACGCUGGCGGCGUGCCUAAUACAUGCAAGUCGAGCGGAGCGGCGAACGGGUGAGUAAAGCGCGAGUAACUGCCCCCCUCUCUGGGAUAACAGUUGGAAACGGCCGCUAAUACCGGAUAGUGGGGGCGGAUUCGCGUCCUAUCAGCUUGUUGGUGGGGUAGUGGCCUACCAAGGCAACGACCGGUAGCCAGCCUGGGCGGGCGACCGGCCACAUUGGGCUGAGGUACGGCCCAAACUGCUACGUGUGGCAGCAGUGGGGAAUAUUGCACAGUGGUGGAAACCGAGAUACGGCAGCGCCACGAGCGUGAUGACUGGCUUCGGGUUGUAUACCGCUUUCAGCCCUAACGCUGGAGUUGCAGAGGAAGCACCGGCUAACUACGUGCCAGCAGCCGCGGUAAUAC
rnacentral:rRNA from 1 species